CUUAUUCCUCUCACUUCUUCCUUUCCUCUCCUUUUCCCUUUUUUUUUCUUUCUCCCAUAAUCUUUUUUUCUUUUUUCUUAACGUACCUGCCCGAUUCACUGCACCUUCCAAAAAGCGUUGCCGGUAUCGCUGCUUACUGUUAGUAACCCUCGCGUUCGUUGACGAACAAAAUACCCCUCUAGUUUCAUCUGCCAUGGUCGCUGGUCGAUUUCUCCCUGCCGCAGCGUCCCGUUGAAGCAAGGGCUUUUGGAACACGUCUCCGGCGUCAACCCAUGAGGAUACUAAAUUGUGGAGACAAAGGCGUGCAGUGUGAAUUCAGGAUAAGCAGACUUGAGUUUAACGGAAGGUCGGAUUUCUUUUUAAUUCUAUGUUUUCUCGAGUGGUGGUGUAGUUAAGUGUUGUGUGCAUUCCCAUAUACCUGAAAUAUUCUUUGGACAUCAGAUUUGAGGAUUUUUUUCAUAUUCGUACAAAAGGGCAAGGAAAAAUUUAGAAUAGUUAGAAAUUUUUCUUGACACAAGUAGGGUAUGGAUAAUGCUUGCUGCUCUAGUAUCUAGAGAUGACGCGCAGAAUUUUUGGCGGAGCUUAGAAAUCAUUCAAUUCUCAUUAAAUGGCAUCCCUAAAAGGUUCUAAAGUGGAGAUAAUGGGUGAUUUUAAACCAUGGGCCUUAAUGUUGUGAUGAAUGUUAUGUUUUAGUUAUAAGUGCAAUACAUGGACUUAUUGGUACAAAAAUGCGGUUUAUUAAAGCUGAAGCUAUAACUUUGUUCUUUUAAAUUGAGGGUGCACGCCCGUAUCAAGAAUUAAACAGUACAAGUUUGAAUGCAUGUUUUGUUGAUGGAAUCACAUGUACAUUGCCUUUUUAGAUGGAUAGGAGUUGGAUAGACGAUACCAACCAUAACUCGGCUCAAUAUUUGGAUGGGGUCAGGGCUUUCUUAGAUUUUGCGUUUAAAGAUAGGAACUCUGAUGCUUCCAUCUAUUGUCCCUGUACGUCCUGUGGCAAUCGCAUAACAAAAUCUCGUAGUGAUAUCUUGCUUCAUUGUAUUCGCUAUGGAUUCGACCAAUGCUACAAGGUCUGGACUUGUCAUGGGCAAGGAGAGGUGAACUAUGCGCUGCAGAAGACAAUGUUCCAAUGCGUUGGGAGGAUUAACUAGAUCUUCUGUUGCAAGAGUGCGUAACCGCUGAGGACACCGGGCCGGGGCCCAGUAACACCGAACCUCUUAAUGAUAAGGAGGAUGACCAUAUACAUCGUGACAUAAGGGGUACAGAAAAAUGUUAGAAGAUGUAGAGAAGAAGCUUAUACCAGGGUGCAAAAAAAUGAGUAGACUCUCGUUUAUCGCUCGCUUUUUGCACUUGAAGGUUUUGUGCCACUGGUUUAAUAAAUCUAUUGACUUGUUGUUAGAGUUGUUAAGGGAUGCAGACAAUGUUGUCCUCCCGAAGAACUUCUAUGAGGCUAACAUGAUCACGAAGGACUUGGGGUUCACAUGUAAGACUAUCCAUGGAUGCAUCAACAAUUGCAUGUUGUUUAUUGGGGAAGAUGUUCACCGUGAUGUUUGUAUUGUGUGUGGGGAAAAAAGAUUGGGUAAAGAUAGAUCUCCUUUGAAGAAGUUGGGGUACUUUCCAUUGAUUCCCCAUUGAUUCCAAAAUUGCAUCAUCUAUGCGAUGGCAUGCCGAAGGGCAUGUCGAUGAUGACAAGAUGCGUCACCCAGCAGAUACUCCUGCGUGGAAGGGGUUUGAUCAUCGGUACCCCACGUUUGCUGAGGAUAUUCGCAACGUAUGCCUUAGGCUGGCCACCAACGGUUUCAACCCCUUUGGAAAUAUGAGCGUUAGGUACAGCAUUUGGCCCGUAGUACUUGUGAUAUAUAAUCUACCACCAUGGCUAUGCAUGAAGCAACCACCGUUCAUCCUUUCUACAAUUAUAGAUGCUCCGCAAGGCCCGGGGGAUCGCAUCGACGUCUUCCUUCAACCUUUGAUGGAUGAGUUGAAGGAGCUUUGGUAUGACGGUGUUUGGAUAUACGAUGCAAGAAGCAAGGAGGACUUCCAAAUGCGAGCUGCGUUGCUGUGGACCAUCAGUAAUUUUCCAGGUUAUGGUAUGUUAUCAGGGUGGCCAACUCGUGGGGCGAAUGCAUGUCCUGUUUGUGGUAUGAAAACUUAUUCCAGGUAUCUAAAAAAUGCCCACAAAUAUAGCUACUGUGGGCAUCGAAGGUUCCUACCGAGUGGGCAUAGAAUGCACUAUGAUAAGCAUGCAUUUGACGGUAUGAUGGACUUUGAGACAAAGCCGUCUCGCUUGACUUCCAAUGAACUGCUCCAGCAUCUUCAGGAUGUGCGAACUGAGUACCGUAAGGUUGAUCUUAUUCAGAAGCUUGUUGCAUAGAGAUCCCGAAAGCGUAUCCGGGAGGUUGUGAACCAACGUACAUGGAAAAAAAAGAGCAUUCUGUUCGAGCUCUCUUAUUGGGCCGAGAACGAAAUACGUCACAACCUCGAUUUGUUGCACAUUGAAAAGAAUGUGUGUGAAAAUGUAUUGUAUACAUUGUUGGGGAGUAAAGGAAAAACAAACGAUAAUCUCAACACAAGGAAAGACUUGCAGUUACUGCAAAUACGCACUGCUUUGCACCCGGUCUCUGGCCUGAAGGGUUCUAUAUACUUGUCUGCUGCUAUGUACACUAUAAGUAACCCUGAAAAACGAAACUUCCUAUCUGUGUUGAAGGAUCUACAACCACCUUAUGGAUUCAGUUCGAACUUAUCGCGUCGUGUUAGGGUACAACAACAACUAUGGGGUCUUAAGAGCCACGACUGCCACAUUCUUAUGCAAUGACUUCUUCCAUUGCAGCCCGACGGUAUACCCUUGUAAAAAAAUUAUAUUUGAUAACCCAAGUCACGCUUCGUCUUAACAUAAUUAAAGGUGCCACUUCAUCACUUCUUAUAGGUGUCUUCCCAAGAAUGUUGUGCUCGUGUUGAUUGAACCUUGUAACUUCUUCAAUUCUGUGUGCUCAACUAGCAACACAGUUCGUGAGCUGGAGCGAAUACAAAAAAGAGUUUCAUUGACAUUAUGUCACCUUGAAAAGCUAUUCCCACCUUCAUUCUUCGAUGUGAUGGAGCAUCUGCCAAUCCACUUGGCUGAGGAGGCAAUGGUCAACGGUCCAGUGCAGUACCGGUGGAUGUAUCCGAUUGAGAGGUACCUUAGUACUCUGAAGAGGUACGUACAGAAUCGGGCCCAACUUGAGGGUUCUAUUGCACGUGGAUACCUUAUGGAAGAGUGCGUGACCUUCUGCUCAAGAUAUCUUGGGGACAUAGAGACCAAAGAGAACAGGGGUGUUCAAGGUGAUGAAGAAGGCACACAACACAAGAAAGGAUUAUUUGGUUCUAGGUUUAACCUUGAUUACAAUACGAUGCGUCAGAUUCAUGGUUACAUCCUAGGAAAUUUAGAUGCAAUAAGUCCGAUACGAAGGUUACUUCACCUCAACUUCACAAUACUUGUAUGCAUUCUUUAUUGAUGUUCAAUAUAUUCCAAUUCCCUUUUUGCAUUGUAGGAUUCACGUUGAUAGUAUUAGGUCCUGUCGAGGUCGCGCACCUCCACGUGAGGUGCAACGCCAACACAACGAACAAUUUGCGUCAUGGUUUCAUCAUACGUGAGUAUCCUUUACCAGUAACCCUACACGGGAACGCCCCAAAAACAAUAUUGAAACCAUGAAUCUGAACAUCAACUACUUUACAUCAAAUGUAGGUAGAUGAUCCAACGCAUAACGAUGUUUGCCCAAUCUCGGAUUGGAUUACGUGCAUUGGCCCGUGGACCAUCGAGUAGUGCAACACGGUACUCUUCGUGCAUUGUUUCUGGAGUACGUUAUCGGGUUAAAUAUCGGGAUGCGGGAAAGAGGACACAAUGUGCAGGUGUUAUGGUUAUAGCAGAUACAGUAAGUUACGCCUCUGCUAGGGACCAUAACCCACGAGAAGGUUCCGUGGCAUAUUACGGGAUUGUUAUAGACAUUGUAGAGGUGUAUUAUGACAAUCUACAGAAGUACCUUCUUUUAAAAUGUGAUUGGGUGGAUCCGGAGAGAGGUGUUAAAGUAGAUGAGUUCAAGUACAAGCUUGUGAACUUCAAUCAUCUGAUGUACCCGAAGAACUUGCCCACUGAUGAGCCAUUUGUCCUGGCAACCCAAGCCAAUCAAGUUUGGUACAUUGCAAAGCCGGUUCAGGAGGACUGGAGUGUUGUUGUUCCGGUGACUCGUCGGGACACAUAUGAUGUGUAUAGUACAAUCGAUCAUAGAUUCAGUAAUAGGUUCGCUUUAAAUGACGGAGGCAACGCCAGAGAAGCUGCCGACUAUUGGCUAAGGGAAGACGUUGAGGGCCAGCUUCUUGAUGGAACAACCCAGAUUGACAAUGUAGAGAUUUCAGCUCGGCGUUCGGAGGAAACCUCCGAAGAUGAAUAUGCUUAGUGGUGAAGGAAGAUAGCGGGCAUUUUUGACUGUUUGUAAAUAUUGCUUAGUGAACGCCCCCAUUUUGACAGUAGGACAAAAACACUUCCUUUUUGAGCUCCAGGGUCAGAAUAAAUUUCACAUCUCAACAUAUGGUACUUUUUUCGUAAGGGUGUAUUAGUUCAAGUACGCCUAAGGUAACAACUUUGCGUGAAUCGUCUCGUUUUAUCAACGCUGUUUUCUAUCGUUGUAUGUUCUUCGUCAGCUACAUGCAUUGUUUGUUUUAUUAUGUUGUGACUUUUUUGUUGUUUCGGACAACUCCCUAAUGCUUAUAUGUUGCAAGUUAUGGCAAAAACUCAACGAGUUGCCGUGGAGGGUCCCAAGAUCCGACUGGCUCGCCUGUAGGACGUGUUACCUAGGCAUCCGCACGCAAUAGCCCAGUAGAUGGAACUAAUGUAGCUAGCAGGAACCCAUCACCUGUGCGGAAAACUGCAAAAAAAAUGACAAAACGAAAGGGAACGCGGGUCUCACCAUUGUUCCAGCAAGUUCGCUCCAUCACAUCAGAGUGGGAGAAAGAGGGCAAUAUUCAUGCUUCCACCAAAUCAACGACAUCAUCCGCUCGGCGGGCAGUGCUUCAGGAUUCGUAGGGGCCUGCAGAGGAACAUAAUGGUAGGGAUAUCCCAGCUUCCCUUGAGCCAAAUGCAGCCAUGCAGGAUGAGAAUGAGACAAUACCCCCCACAUAAGUAGAUGACGAAACAAUCCCACCGACGCAAGACAUGGAGACUGUGGAGAGUGAUAUGCCGUUCCUGGGUGGGGAAUUGGGGCCCGGCCUUAUGGCCAUGGAAGACACAGAGGCGGGCGAUAUGGAACACUUGGAUGGGAUAACAUCAUAUGGCGUUGGUCCCUCAAAGAAGAAACAGGGAAGGGGGCAGCGAGAAUGCCACAUGGAUGGGGAAAUGAUCACAAGAUGCUUGUAUUUACAUCGCCGGAUGGCAAAAGCAUUGUUGGACCUGAUGUAAAUGAGUACAAGACCGCUUUUAGGAUGAUUGCGCGCAAUGGAGCUCGACUUCCUCUGCAUUACCCGAUGUUGCCGAAAUACCGGAGACAAAGAGACUGGGUGCAUGGAUGGAGGUUCAGGGCGAUAACCACGCCACAUGUCCUACCAGAGCAACAGCGGAUUACCAAACUCAGCAGAGAAAGUGGUCUUGGCUGAGUUACGGGAGGUUUGGAGGCAUUGGAAAUAGAGCAUCAAAUCAACUUACUUCAACCCAAUCCAGGAUGACAAUGAAGCACUGAAGAAGGUUCCUUCAAGCCGGAUUGUGGCCGAUCAAUGACCGAAGUUGGUCGGGUAUUGGCAGGACGAAAAAGUUAAGCUUCAAUCCAAGAAAAAUGCAUCUAACGUAUAGAAAAGAAGUUUCCCACAUCGUACUGGGCGGAAGUCCUUCACGACUCUCGCUGAGGAGAUCAAGGCGAAGGGGAAGGACCCCGACAGCUUAGAGAUAUGGAUAUACAGUCGGACACAAGGCAAGGGAACAAACAAUCAACAAACCGAAGAGAUAUUGUUGAUUCUUUUGUUGUAAACAUAUUUGCAGAAUGAGCUAAACAAGAUUCCGCCGGAAGGGCAGACUCCGGCUGUUCGGGAGACUCUUUACCAACAGGCUCUUGGGGGAAAGACCAAAAAAUGCUCAAAGGUUGACAGUGCCGCCAGUUCAGCUCAUCCCCGCAGUGAGGCAACUGGUUUAACAGAUACUGUAGCAUUCCAGCAAGGGUGGGAAGAAAUGCAGAGCGGACUUGCAGAGUUCAAGAAAAUGAUGGCUGAGUUCAAAACCAUCAAGGCUGAUGUGUAUGCAUUCAUGCACAGAAACUCCGAAGUAGUUACCCAUCUGCCACAGCUCGUAUUGAUACGGUCUCUGAGCUUCUUAGGCCCAUCUCUGAAUCACCUAUGACGGUUGGCACCCGUGUGCUUAUAUUAUCUCGCACCGGAGAGAAGAAAGUUGUUGCUGAGGGACUUCUGCUCAGCCCCCCUGCACCAGGUGACACACUUUCCCUGGUCAAGGUUUUCGUUACAUCCGCCGCAGUCCCGGACACACCCCUUAUUUUGCCGACAAUUGCUGGCGCGACUACCUUUCGCGAGGUGGUCGGUGAAGAUCCUAUUGAGUGGAACUAUAAGGAUCUCAUGCGCCACCCCUGAAGCAUAUCGACCGGUUCCUUUAUGUUUUAUCUCUAUUUGCAUUAUCAAUUGCAUGUCGUGGAUGUGCUUGGAUGGUAGGUUCUUAUGGCUAUGUGAAAUACCUAUGGAAUAGAUGCAUAGACAUUUGGAUGUAUAUUUUGUGUGGUAAGAAUUGUUGCUAUGGAUUGAUCGAUCUCCCCGCUUGCUUAUUACUAGGUUGGAUGUUUGAAAUGCUUGUGUUUGAUGGAACAUAAUGUCGAAGUGGAGAUGUUGCUAGCCUUGUUCAAUUGGUUAAUUUACUUUGUUGU